UACGUAGGGUGCGAGCGUUAAUCGGAAUUACUGGGCGUAAAGCGUGCGCAGGCGGUUCGUUGUGUCGGCGGUGAAAGCCCCGGGCUUAACCUGGGAAUGGCCGUUGAAACUGGCGAACUGGAGUGUGGCAGAGGGGGGUGGAAUUCCGCGUGUAGCAGUGAAAUGCGUAGAGAUGCGGAGGAACACCGAUGGCGAAGGCAAUCCCCUGGGCCUGUACUGACGCUCAUGCACGAAAGCGUGGGGAGCGAACAGG
rnacentral:rRNA from 1 species